rnacentral:rRNA from 1 species
AUACGUAUGGUGCAAGCGUUAUCCGGAUUUACUGGGUGUAAAGGGAGUGUAGGUGGCAAGGCAAGUCAGAAGUGAAAGCCCGGGGCUCAACCCCGGGACUGCUUUUGAAACUGCUUGGCUAGAGUGCAGGAGAGGUAAGUGGAAUUCCUAGUGUAGCGGUGAAAUGCGUAGAUAUUAGGAGGAACACCAGUGGCGAAGGCGGCUUACUGGACUGUAACUGACACUGAGGCUCGAAAGCGUGGGGAGC